rnacentral:rRNA from 1 species
UACGUAGGUGGCAAGCGUUGUCCGGAUUUAUUGGGCGUAAAGCGAGUGCAGGCGGUCCAAUAAGUCUGAUGUGAAGGCCUUCGGCUCAACCGGAGAAUUGCAUCAGAAACUGUUGAACUUGAGUGCAGAAGAGGAGAGUGGAACUCCAUGUGUAGCGGUGGAAUGCGUAGAUAUAUGGAAGAACACCAGUGGCGAAGGCGGCUCUCUGGUCUGCAACUGACGCUGAGGCUCGAAAGCAUGGGUAGCGAACAGG